AUCUGCCAAAUAAAUUUGGAAUCUAGUUCCAGUUACAAUUGAAUUGAUCUUACCAAAAUUCUGAAUGCUCCUUAGAAUUUUAUUACAAAUUUUGGGACUUCCUGUGUUGAAUUGAUAAUGAUUAUAAUCAAUCAAACAUUUGCCACCAUGCAUGGUUUUGGAUCUAUUACUCCAUUUGAAAUGGAAUGACAAAAUUUUUGAAAUCUCAUUAGCAUUUAAAACCUUACGAGGUUUGUACAGAAUAUUGCUCCGAGUAUGAUGUAGGUGGUAAUUUACUUUUGAGAGGCCUCCUACGGGGAUAUUCCUGUUAAAUUAGGUUCUGAGAAUACAUAACAGUGAGACCGCAGAAGCUGAUGGAUCGGCUGAGAUCCCAUGGAGGAAGAUACAUUGCUCUUCAUCUGAGAUAUGAGAAAGACAUGUUAUCUUUCACUGGCUGUACUCAUGGUCUUACUGAUGCAGAAUCUGAAGAGCUAAGAAUAAUGAGGCUAUAUGUUGACAAGUGGCAAAACUUCCUGCCUCUGCAUUGGAUGUAAUGUACCUCCACUAGAAGAUGAAGAAGAUAAAUUCAACAGAACAGAGAAAAGGAGGCUUUUGUCCAUUAACCCCCUGAAGAGGUGGGAAUAUUUCUUCAAGCUCUCGGUUACCCUCCAUCAACAUUGAUUUAUAUUGCUGCUAGGGAUAGUUUGUGAUGUUCUAGGCUAAAUUCAAUGAUGACACCUACUUUCCUAUUUUCAUUGAGUAUUGCUGCCUGAAUUCUGAAAAAAUCCACUGAAGUAACAUUUGAUUUUAAUUGAUGUAUUUAAAGUCUGAACAUGAAUUGUUUCUAUUCUUGAGUGUGCAAUGUAUUGUUUCUUAUUUUUAAUUUUG